CUGGCCAAGAAAAAGGCCGGCAUAUAACGGCCGGCAGGCAGUGGCUAUUCCGUGUGCUGACACAGAUUUUCCAUCUCCUCUUUCAAGCUUACAAGGAGGGUUUCUGCGUGCUGGUUCUCGACAGUGUGGUGUUCUCUUGCAAAGCCGGCCCUCCCCCUUCUCCUACUGUGAGGGGAAUUCUGUACCAUGUGUCUGCGGUUUUCAGGGAGCUUUCAAGGAAAAUAAAGGACAGAGGCCUCACAGCCCCCCCCCCAAAAAAAACGACAUCCUCACCUCCCUCCUCCUUCCUCCACUUCUCAUUUUCCCUCACUCAACUCCAUGUGGCACUUUUUUACUUUUUUCAACCUCCCUUUUUCUCAGACCAGCCAGCAGCUAUGGAGUGACAGAGCUAAUUUCGUGUGCAGCCUGUGAUAGAGACAAAUCCAUAAUCAUGGCUAACUCUUAUGAGGCAAGAGAGCGUUAGUUGGUGGGGGAGAAAGGAAGGGGAGAGGGGGGAAAGACAGAGAAAGGCCUUUUGUUUGGCUAAGUACACUAUGUGAAAGAGGGGGCGGUGAGGAAAAGAGAGCUGGAAAUACAUUAGAAAAUGGUUGCAAUGGCUGUGGCAUUUGUGGAUCAGAUUACCUCACAUGUCAUGCAGUGGAUGGACCCAGCCAUUGGAUCCAUUUGGUUUGACCAUGACUGUGUGUAAACUAACUUUAUUGAGACUACAGUGAUUAACUUUGCCCUAAAACCUAUGGAAGGACUGGAGGGGGGGAAAUUGGGAGGAUUAGCAGAGGCAGCUUGCAGUGUACCAACUGUAAUCCAGAGCUUUAUUGGCUCGGUCAACAUACCUUUAAACUAAAUACCUGUAGCUAUGUAGUUUAUUAUUGUAACUUGCCAGGGGAAAGUGGUGAAAAUAAACACUUACCCUGGCUCUACACAUAUCUCAAUCACUAUAGAUACACUUUCUGUAUCUUAACUCGCACCCAACCUACAAUAUACUGUGACUGAUGGGAAGGAAGCAAUUUAGGAGCAUGGAAUAGUGCCUACAUUAACAUUCCCACAUAUGCUAUGGGAGCAAAAGCUAUUUCCGUGUCCUACAUCUAGCGAGCUUCCUGUGGUCUGCCCUGUGCAGGAAGUCAUAAAGACGGGAAGACUUCCUGUACUGUUGCCAACAUACAGCAGUACGGACUGUACAUGCUCCGUAAGGCUGGGGACCAAUGAUGUAAACACCAUAUAAAUAGCACUCUCAGCCCUAUCAAGGAGGAGGAGAGAUACAUCUGAAUGGAGAUUUAUACCACUCCUUUAUACCAGUUCUUUUCACUGGGCUUAGCAGUCGUGUAAAGGAUCUCCCUUUAAAAUAAAAUACACCUUGACAAACACAAGUGUUGUCUAUGUAGUCUUUCUAAUCUUAACAGAGUUUUUGCAUGUUUUCCCAUCACUGGAUCUCAUGCAAUGCACUGUAUAUUCAAUAACUUC